rnacentral:lncRNA from 1 species
AUGAAAUAUAAGCUCCUGAUGCAGCACGUUCAUUUCAGUAUAUUUGUCUGUCGUGAAAUAGAGCCUCUUGAGACAUCAAGCGUUUGGCAACCCUUCAACUGUCUAGAUAACUUAAGACGCUUCCUGUUUAUGGCAGGGAGGAAGACAAAGGCAGCAGCUGUGUGGAGCAGCACGCCUGGUGCCUGGGCGAAGGGUGACGUUUCGGGUGCCAUGUUUGCUGUGGCGUGCGGCCGGCGGCUUCGGCGAGCUGCGCGGCUGCGAGCGCCGGGACCUGCACACCGCGCGCAGGGUGUGCAUAUUGGCAUGUAUUAA